GAUGAACGCUGGCGGCGUGCCUAAUACAUGCAAGUCGAGCGAACAGACGAGGAGUUUGCUCCUCUGACGUUAGCGGCGGACGGGUGAGUAACACGUGGAUAACCUACCUAUAAGACUGGGAUAACUUCGGGAAACCGGAGCUAAUACCGGAUAAUAUAUUGAACCGCAGGGUUCAAUAGUGAAAGACGGCUUUGCUGUCACUUAUAGAUGGAUCCGCGCCGCAUUAGAUAGUUGGGAAGGUAACGGCUUACCAAGGCAACGAUGCGUAGCCGACCUGAGAGGGUGAUCGGCCACACUGGAGCUGAGACACGGUCCAGACUCCUACGGGAGGCAGCAGUAGGGAAUCUUCCGCAAUGGGCGAAAGCCUGACGGAGCAACGCCGCGUGAGAGAUGAAGGUCUUCGGAUCGUAAAACUCUGUUAUUAGGGAAGAACAAAUGUGUAAGUAACUAUGCACGUCUUGACGGUACCUAGUCAGAAAGCAACGGCUAACUACGUG
rnacentral:rRNA from 1 species